rnacentral:rRNA from 1 species
GAGUUCAAGAGUACGUGAACCGUUCAGGGGUAAACCUGAGAAACCCGAAAGGUCGAAAGGGGAAAUUCAUUCGCGUUUCGGCCGCCGGCGUUGGGUGGUCGAGUGACGGACGGCGUACGCGUCGUCCGCGCCUUCCGUCUUUCGAACUGGCGUCGAACGCGUGCACUUUUCCCCUAGUAGGACGUCGCGAUCCGUUGGGUGUCGGUCUAAGACCUGCGGUGGAGCCCGGGUGGACGUUUCGGCGUUCCGUCCGGACCCGUAGUGUUCCGGCCGACUCGCUCGACGGUAUACAGAUGGCGCGGGGCCGCUACCAACUUAGUUAGCGUUCGGCCCGCGGCAAGCGCGUUCGGCGUUUGACGGCGAUCGGACCUCGUUCCGGUCCUGUCCCCGAACGACUGUUGGCCUGCGGUGUUCUCGAACAGACCCCGUUUUGAAACGCCGAUCUGCGACGCUAUAGCUUUGGGUACUUUCAGGACCCGUCUUGAA